GAUGAACGCUGGCGGCGUGCCUAAUACAUGCAAGUCGAGCGAACGGACGAGAAGCUUGCUUCUCUGAUGUUAGCGGCGGACGGGUGAGUAACACGUGGAUAACCUACCUAUAAGACUGGGAUAACUUCGGGAAACCGGAGCUAAUACCGGAUGAUAUUUUGAACCGCAUGGUUCAAAAGUGAAAGACGGUCUUGCUGUCACUUAUAGAUGGAUCCGCGCUGCAUUAGCUAGUUGGUAAGGUAACGGCUUACCAAGGCAACGACGCAUAGCCGACCUGAGAGGGUGAUCGGCCACACUGGAACUGAGACACGGUCCAGACUCCUACGGGAGGCAGCAGUAGGGAAUCUUCCGCAAAGGGCGAAAGCCUGACGGAGCAACGCCGCGUGAGUGAUGAAGGUCUUCGGAUCGUAAAACUCUGUUAUUAGGGAAGAACAUAUGUGUAAGUAACUGUGCACAUCUUGACGGUACCUAAUCAGAAAGCCACGGCUAACUACGUG
rnacentral:rRNA from 1 species